rnacentral:tRNA from 1 species
GCCAGUGUGGUUCAGUGGAUAGAGCAUCAGCCUGUGGACUGAAGGGUCCCGGGUUCGAGCCCGGUCAAGGGCA